rnacentral:rRNA from 1 species
UGCCCACCAGCUAGCCCCCAAACUAAAAACAACAAAUACCAAUUAAUAACCCCAAAUACACGACAACUACACCAAACAAACCAUUUUUCCCCCUUAGUAUAGGCGAUAGAAAAGGGUCCUGGAGCGAUAGCAAUAGUACCGCAAGGGAACGCUGAAAGAGAAAUGAAACAAGCCAGUGAAGCUUAAAAAAGCAGAGAUUUUAACUCGUACCUUUUGCAUCAUGAUUUAGCAAGUAACCUCAAGCAAAGAGUAUUUUAGUUUGAUGCCCCGAAACUAAUGUGAGCUACUCCAAGACAGCCUAUUAAUUUAGGGCAAACCCGUCUCUGUGGCAAAAGAGUGGGAAGAGCUUUGAGUAGAGGUGACAAACCUACCGAACUUAGUUAUAGCUGGUUGCCUGGGAAUUGGAUAGGAGUUCAGCCUCCCGGCUUCUUUCCUCAAAUCAAAGACCCAAAUUUUUAGGCCUUGACCCCAAGGACACCCAGAGAAACCGAGAGAGUUAAUCAAAGGGGGUACAGCCCCUUUGAUAUAAGACACAACUUUUCCAGGAGGAUAAAGAUCAUAAUUAAACUAAAGGUAAAAUGUUCUGGUGGGCCUGAAAGCAGCCAUCCCUACAGAAAGCGUCAAAGCUCAAACAUACAAAUUUUCCCCUUCAGAUCCCGAUAAUUUUAUCUUAAUCCCCUAAUCUUACCAGGCCGUUCCAUGCACCCAUGGAAGCGACCAUGCUAAUAUGAGUAAUAAGAGAGCACCCCGCCUCUCUCCUUGCACAAGUGUAAAUCGGAACGGACACCCCACCGAACUUUAACGGACCCAAACAAAGAGGGUACUGAAUCGCAGAUAAUCGACUGGAAAACCAUCCAAUAAUACAACCGUUAACCCUACACUGGUGUGCCUUUAAGGAAAGACUAAAAGAAAAAGAAGGAACUCGGCAAACACAUGAAGCCUCGCCUGUUUACCAAAAACAUCGCCUCUUGCAAAAUCAAUGAAUAAGAGGUCCCGCCUGCCCAGUGACCAUGUGUUCAACGGCCGCGGUAUUUUAACCGUGCGAAGGUAGCGAAAUCACUUGUCUUUUAAAUGGGGACCAGUAUGAAUGGCUAGACGAGGGCUUGACUGUCUCCUUUUUCAAGUCAAUGAAAUUGAUCUCCCCGUGCAGAAGCGGGGAUAAACACAUAAGACGAGAAGACCCUAUGGAGCUUUAGACACCAAGUCAGACCCAUGUUCCUCACCCCUAAACAAAGGGUAAAACUAGUGGAGUCUGUACUACGUCUUCGGUUGGGGCGACCAUGGGGAAUACAAAACCCCCAAGUGGAAUGGGAGCACCACUCCUCCUAUAACUAAGAGCCCCCGCUCUCAGUAACAGAAUUUUUGACCUUUAAGAUCCGGCAAAGCCGAUUAACGAACCAAGUUACCCUAGGGAUAACAGCGCAAUCCCCUUCAAGAGCCCUUAUCGACAAGGGGGUUUACGACCUCGAUGUUGGAUCAGGGCAUCCUAAUGGUGUAACCGCUAUUAAGGGUUCGUUUGUUCAACGAUUAAAGCCCUACGUGAUCUGAGUUCAGACCGGAGUAAUCCAGGUCAGUUUCUAUCUAUGUAAUGAAUCUUUUCUAGUACGAAAGGACCGGAAAGUAGGGGCCCCUGCUCAAAGCACGCCUCACCCUUACCUGCUGAAGGCAGCUAAAACAGGCAAAAGGGAAUAUUCCAUUGCCGAAAAGAACGGCAAA